AUUGAACGCUGGCGGCAGGCCUAACACAUGCAAGUCGAGCGGAUGAAGGGAGCUUGCUCCUGGAUUCAGCGGCGGACGGGUGAGUAAUGCCUAGGAAUCUGCCUGGUAGUGGGGGAUAACGUCCGGAAACGGGCGCUAAUACCGCAUACGUCCUGAGGGAGAAAGUGGGGGAUCUUCGGACCUCACGCUAUCAGAUGAGCCUAGGUCGGAUUAGCUAGUUGGUGGGGUAAAGGCCUACCAAGGCGACGAUCCGUAACUGGUCUGAGAGGAUGAUCAGUCACGCUGGAACUGAGACACGGUCCAGACUCCUACGGGAGGCAGCAGUGGGGAAUAUUGGACAAUGGGCGAAAGCCUGAUCCAGCCAUGCCGCGUGUGUGAAGAAGGUCUUCGGAUUGUAAGGCACUUUAAGUUGGGAGGAAGGGCAGUAAGUUAAUACCUUGCUGUUUUGACGUUACCAACAGAAUAAGCACCGGCUAACUUCGUG
rnacentral:rRNA from 1 species